UGAGGAGCGAAAGCAUGNGGAGCGAACAGGAUUAGAUACCCUGGUAGUCCAUGCUGUAAACGGUGGGCGUUAGGUGUGGGGACCGGUUUGGUUUCUGUGCCGUAGCUAACGCAUUAAGCGCCCCGCCUGGGGAGUACGGCCGCAAGGCUAAAACUCAAAGGAAUUGACGGGGGCCCGCACAAGCGGCGGAGCAUGUGGAUUAAUUCGAUGCAACGCGAAGAACCUUACCUGGGUUUGACAUGCACCAGACAGUUGUAGAGAUACGUACCUCCCUUUGUGGUUGGUGUGCAGGUGGUGCAUGGUUGUCGUCAGCUCGUGUCGUGAGAUGUUGGGUUAAGUCCCGCAACGAGCGCAACCCUUGUCUUAUGUUGCCAGCACUUUGGGUGGGGACUCAUGAGAGACUGCCGGGGUUAACUCGGAGGAAGGUGGGGAUGACGUCAAAUCAUCAUGCCCUUUAUGCCCAGGGCUUCACACAUGCUACAAUGGUUAGUACAACGCGCUGCAAGCCUGUGAGGGUGAGCGAAUCGCUGAAAGCUAAUCUCAGUUCGGAUUGGGGUCUGCAACUCGACCCCAUGAA
rnacentral:rRNA from 1 species